ensembl:lncRNA
CCUUGCUCCCACUGAAAUCAAUGGCAAAUCUCUGACUGAUUUUAAUGGAGCACACUCACGUUGCAUCUGCUGUGCUGCUGGUUGAGUAAGGUGCAAUUUAACAUAAGCCAGUCUUGCAGAGUGCAUUCCUCAGUGAAGAGAGCAAAUAUGAACACUGCAGGGUCUGUAUCUCUAAUCUGCCUGGACAGGGAGGUAAAAGGCAGGGAUGAAGACUGGCUCCCCUGUAUUUGUCUGCAGACGACCAUACUCUCUCCAUGCCUAUGCUGAGCAGUGGGAAGGCAAUGGCCUAUCUUCUUGGGGAGGGCUUUUACAUCACCUGCAUGUAUAAGAGCAUCUGAAAUAGUGUUUCAGAUUCAGCACGUCUUUACCCCCUCCCCUACUCCAUUUUGCUUUUUCCUGUGGC